rnacentral:rRNA from 1 species
CCUACGGGUGGCAGCAGUGAGGAAUAUUGGUCAAUGGGAGGAAUCCUGAACCAGCCAUGCCGCGUGCAGGACGACGGCUCUACGAGUUGUAAACUGCUUUUGUACCGGGGUAAAAUGCUCUACGAGUAGGGUUUUGAAAGUACGGUACGAAUAAGGAUCGGCUAACUCCGUGCCAGCAGCCGCGGUAAUACGGAGGAUCCGAGCGUUAUCCGGAUUUAUUGGGUUUAAAGGGUGCGUAGGUUGUUUUAUAAGUUAGCGGUGAAAUACCGAUGCUCAACAUCGGGGCUGCCGCUGAUACUGUAGGACUAGAGAUCGGAUGCAGCAGGCGGAAUGUGUAGUGUAGCGGUGAAAUGCAUAGAUAUUACACAGAACACCGAUUGCGAAGGCAGCUUGCUAGGCCGGAUCUGACACUGAUGCACGAAAGCGUGGGGAUCGAACAGGAUUAGAUACCCGUGUAGUC